GUGAUCUGAUGUUGAUUGAACUCAUGAACUCUCGAAAAAUGAAUCAAAGUGUGCAGCCGUUGUACCAAGGGUGUUAUACUUGCCAAAAGCUAUAAUAAAACAAAAAUAACUUUUGAAUAUCAAUACAAUACUAAAAGGGGAAUAAGGGCUCCCCUCAUGCUUCCACGUCCUCAAUAAUAAUCAGCCAAUAGGGUGUCUUUUUUUCUCCACGUCAUCUAUAAAUUGGGACCAGGCUUUUGGGAUCUUCGAUCUCCGUAAAUCAGUUCUCUGCGCCUCAUAUACAGCCCAGGUGAAAAACACUUGACAAACCCUAAUCCUCUAAAACGUCCAUCUACUCACUCAUUUCAUUCAAUCUGUCUUCUCAGUUUCAUCUUCUUUGUAAUUAAUCAAACAGUUGAGUAAUUUAUUUUGAGAGGGAGAGAAACAGGCGAUCGAUUAGGGUUUGUGUUCAUCGGAAAUUUCUAUAACGAUCGGAGGCAUGAGCUCGACGGGGAAUCUGAUAACGUCAAUCCAGGGCCUAUCAGCGAGCUCCGGGGACUUAUCCGCACUCCACCGUAUUCUCAAAGGAGCUGAGGAGACGCUCCGAGCCGAUUCGGAUCUUGAACUCUCUACUCUCGAACAG
rnacentral:lncRNA from 1 species